CCAAACUCCAGUCAGUAAACGCGCAGACGUCUGAUAAACAAGUUAAUAAACUAAAACUUUCAACAACGGAUCUCUUGGUUCUGGCAUCGAUGAAGAACGCAGCGAAAUGCGAUAAGUAAUGUGAAUUGCAGAAUUCAGUGAAUCAUCGAAUCUUUGAACGCACAUUGCGCCCCUUGGUAUUCCGGGGGGCAUGCCUGUUCGAGCGUCAUUACAACCCUCAAGCUCUGCUUGGAAUUGGGCACCGUCCUCACUGCGGACGCGCCUCAAAGACCUCGGCGGUGGCUGUUCAGCCCUCAAGCGUAGUAGAAUACACCUCGCUUUGGAGUGGUUGGCGUCGCCCGCCGGACGAACCUUCUGAACUUUUCUCAAGGUUGACCUCGGAUCAGGUAGGGAUACCCGCUGAACUUAAGCAUAUCAAUAAGCGGAGGA
rnacentral:rRNA from 1 species